rnacentral:rRNA from 2 species
AAAAAAACUAGGAUUAGAUACCCUAUUAUUUAAAAUGUAAAUAUAAAUAUUAAAGUAGUAAUAGUUAUGUUCUUGAAACUUAAAAAAUUUGGCGGUAUUUUAGUCUAUCCAGAGGAACCUGUUUUGUAAUCGAUAAUCCACGAUGGACCUUACUUAAAUUUGUAAUCAGUUUAUAUACCGUCGUUAUCAGAAUAUUUUAUAAGAAUAAUAAUAUUCAAUAAUUUUAAUAAAAAUUUAUAUCAGAUCAAGGUGUAGCUUAUAUUUAAGUAAUAAUGGGUUACAAUAAAAUUAUUUAUACGGAUAAAAUUAUGAAAAAGUUUUUGAAGGUGGAUUUGGUAGUAAAAUUAUAAAGAUAAAUAAUUUGAUUUUAGCUCUAAAAUAUGUACACAUCGCCCGUCGCUCUUAUUAUUAAGGU